rnacentral:rRNA from 1 species
GAUGAACGCUGGCGGCGUGCUUAACACAUGCAAGUCGAACGGAAAGGCCCAAGCUUGCUUGGGUACUCGAGUGGCGAACGGGUGAGUAAAACGUGGGUGAUCUGCCCUGCACUUCGGGAUAAGCCUGGGAAACUGGGUCUAAUACCGGAUAGGACGAUGGUUUGGAUGCCAUUGUGGAAAGUUUUUUCGGUGUGGGAUGAGCUCGCGGCCUAUCAGCUUGUUGGUGGGGUAAUGGCCUACCAAGGCGUCGACGGGUAGCCGGCCUGAGAGGGUGUACGGCCACAUUGGGACUGAGAUACGGCCCAGACUCCUACGGGAGGCAGCAGUGGGGAAUAUUGCACAAUGGGCGCAAGCCUGAUGCAGCGACGCCGCGUGGGGGAUGACGGCCUUCGGGUUGUAAACUCCUUUCGCUAGGGACGAAGCGUUUUUGUGACGGUACCUGGAGAAGAAGCACCGGCUAACUACGUG